rnacentral:rRNA from 1 species
UACGUAGGGUGCAAGCGUUAAUCGGAAUUACUGGGCGUAAAGCGUGCGCAGGCGGGUAUGCAAGACAGAUGUGAAAUCCCCGGGCUCAACCUGGGAACUGCAUUUGUGACUGCAUAGCUAGAGUACGGUAGAGGGGGAUGGAAUUCCGCGUGUAGCAGUGAAAUGCGUAGAUAUGCGGAGGAACACCGAUGGCGAAGGCAAUCCCCUGGACCUGUACUGACGCUCAUGCACGAAAGCGUGGGGAGCAAACAGG